rnacentral:rRNA from 1 species
UACGGGGGGGGGCAAGCGUUGUUCGGAAUUACUGGGCGUAAAGGGCUCGUAGGUGGCCAACUAAGUCAUACGUGAAAUCCCUCGGCUUAACCUGGGAACUGCGUCGGAUACUGGAUGGUCUUGAAUUCGGGAGAGGGAUGCAGAAUUCCAGGUGUAGCGGUGAAAUGCGUAGAUAUCUGGAGGAAUACCGGUGGCGAAGGCGGCAUCCUGGACCGACAUUGACGCUGAUGAGCGAAAGCUAGGGGAGCAAACGGG